GAUGAAGAACGUAGCGAAAUGCGAUACGUAAUGUGAAUUGCAGAAUUCAGUGAAUCAUCGAAUCUUUGAACGCACAUUGCACUCUCUGGUAUUCCGGAGAGUAUGCUUGUUUGAGUAUCAGUAAACACCUCAAAUCUCUUGUUUCUUGUGAAUAAGAGAAUUGGACUUGAGCAAUCCCAACUCUUGCAAAAGAGGCGGGUUGCUUGAAAUGCAGGUGCAGCUGGACAUUCUUCUGAGCUAAAAGCAUAUUUAUUUAGUCCCGUAAAACGGAUUAUUCCUUUUGCUGCAGCUAACAUAAAGGUUGAAUGGCCAAUAUGGCUGACUGAUGCAGGAUUAACAGAGAAUUUAUUCUUUGUAAACUCGAUCUCAAAUCAAGUAAGACUACCCGCUGAACUUAAGCAUAUCAAUAAGCGGAGGA
rnacentral:misc_RNA from 1 species